GAUGAACGCUGACAGAAUGCUUAACACAUGCAAGUCAACUUGAAUUUGGGUUUUUAACUUAGGUUUGGGUGGCGGACGGGUGAGUAACGCGUAAAGAACUUGCCUCACAGCUAGGGACAACAUUUGGAAACGAAUGCUAAUACCUAAUAUUAUGAUAAUAGGGCAUCCUAUAAUUAUGAAAGCUAUAAGCGCUGUGAGAGAGCUUUGCGUCCCAUUAGCUAGUUGGAGAGGUAACGGCUCACCAAGGCGAUGAUGGGUAGCCGGCCUGAGAGGGUGAUCGGCCACAAGGGGACUGAGACACGGCCCUUACUCCUACGGGAGGCAGCAGUGGGGAAUAUUGGACAAUGGACCGAGAGUCUGAUCCAGCAAUUCUGCGUGCACGAUGAAGUUUUUCGGAAUGUAAAGUGCUUUCAGUUGGGAAGAAACAAAUGACGGUACCAACAGAAGAAGUGACGGCUAAAUACGUG
rnacentral:rRNA from 1 species